UCUCCUUCCGCACAGCUCCUACCUGAAACCCUAAACCCUAAAGUCUGGAACUUCAUAUCUUGCUUUUCGCGCGAAUUGCCCGUCCCAGAUUUACCAAGUCAGGUGAUUCACAGGAUUUAGUAAAUCGGAAUUACGGCCGAAAUCAGUAAAGUAUUGACCGUCUGGCAGGAUUUAGGUCAAGUCCAGGUUAAAUCCUGCUCUAAUCCUACCAGACAGCCGCCCCUCAAAGUAACUCGCAAAGCCUGCCUAGAAAGCUCAUCUCUGGCAAUCCCCGGUCUGCACGGCCUCUGUUCUUUGGAGACCCACAGGUAGUCAGCCACGCAUUUUACAGCCAGAGCAACAUUUAAUCCUCCUCUCAUUUCUAGCCCCUCAUGCUCAAUCUGGUCCCUUUUUUUUCCCACGAAUUUCAAGGCUCGUUGGUUUAGGACCUACUAAAAUUAUGGUUUUUGUGGAUCGUUACUCGGUGUGGACUCGCUGGGAUGUAUAUUUCGUACCAAAGAUAUGAUUUUUGCAUUUAUUUCAAGUUGAGAAUCUUUGUUUUCAGGUUAAUUUUUGUCGGCUGCAUAAAUUAUAUCCUUUGCCAUGAAAGAUGAAAGUUUCAUCACACCAUUCUUUGUUUUUGAGAACAAAGAGGCGAUCUUUCAGAUGGAAAUUCUUAGGCUCUGUCGUCGAAGGUGCAUCAAUACGCGGCCUCCAUAGCGUAGAGCAUUUUGCCAGCACUUUCCGAACUUGUGAAGAUAUCAGAUUUCUCAGAAAGCUUCAUGGAAGCAUUCUUUCUCAUGGGCUGGGCGAAAACAUAUUUCUGGGAUCUAAAUUAUUGAACUGCUAUGCAAACUUUGGAGGAUUAUGUGAGUCAAGGUUAGUGUUUGCUAAGAUCGUUAACAGAAAUCUUUCGCUCUGGAACUCUGCCAUUGUUGGGUAUCACAGAGCUGGCCAGUUUUCCGAAGUUCUUUUCUUAUAUAAAAAUUUAAAAUUUAAUGGGCUUGGAUUUGAUAGUUCAACCAUAACAUUUAGUUUGAAGGGUAGCACUGAGCUUGGUAGUUUGGAAAUUGGACAAUCCAUCCAUGUUGAUGCUCUCAAAACCGGUUUAAACACAGAUAAGUUUGUUGGUUCUUCUUUGGUUGGAUUAUACUCCAGAUGUGGACUAACUGAUGAUGGUCAUGAGGCCUUUGAGGAGAUCUUUGAUAAGGAUAUCAUUGCCUAUACCGCCAUGGUUACUGGCUAUGCUCGCCUUCCUGCUAAAAUGGCUUUCAGAAUUGCUUCUGUUAUGCAGAGAGAAGGUUUAUCUGCGAAUCGUGUAACAUUAGUUAGCCUGCUGCAGGUAGCAGGACAACUAGAAGAGCUUAGAAAAGGUCAAGCAAUUCACUGCUAUGCUUUGAGGAGAGGGAUUGAUCCAUCAGAUGAAGCUCUGCAAACCGCCAUUAUCGACAUGUAUGCUAGGUGCGGAGCUUUGCUUUCAGCUUCAUCCUUGUUGGGGCGAACGGAAAGAACCUGCCUUGCUUCAUGGAAUGCCAUGAUUUCUGGCCUCAUUCAGUGGGGAAAGAGUGACGAGGCAUUGCAGAUUUUCAAAACUUUUGAGAAAGAAUCAAAAUUUAUCCCUGAUUCGAUCACCUUAUCGAACAUACUUGCCGCAUGCGCCGAUACCGGGUGUCUUCAUCAAGUCAGAGAUGUCCAUUGUUACCUUUUAAGAAGAUUAAUUUCACCUGAUUUAGUUGUCGUCACUUCCCUUGUCAAUUUGUACUCCGAAUGUGGCAAAAUACAGUAUGCACGGAAGUUGUUUGAUGAAAUGUUAGUAAGAGACACCGUAUUGUAUAAUGUUAUUCUCUCUGGAUAUCUACAUGCCAAAAAGAUCGAUGUCGCGAUUACUUUGUUUAAGAGAAUGUUUGAAGAAGGUAUCGAUCCUAAUUUCAUGACGAUGGUGAGUUUUCUUUCCACAUUCUCUGAUAUAAGUUACAUUAAACUUGGCAAGUGGGUGCAUGGAUUCAUAUUAAGAUAUGGUUUCGAUUCAAUUUUAGAUGUUGUUAACAUGAUUCUUCACAUGUAUGUUGAAUGGGGAUUUAUUAAUACCGCAAACAUCAUUUUUGAAUCUAUGUUGAAGAAAGAUUUAGUUUCGUGGACAAUAAUGAUGAUGAAUUAUGCCGACCAAGGUCAUGUAGAUAAGGUUCUUACGUUGUUUCAACUAAUGCUGCGAGCGCGAGAAAAGCCUGAUUCUGUCAUUCUUAUCACAUUACUCAAAGCACAUAUGGAACUCGGAGGAGUGCUAAAAGUGAAGGAAAUCCAUGGCUAUAUCUAUCGAAUUCUUCUAAACAAAGACAUCGCGACCAUGAAUUCCGUCAUCAUCGCUUACGCAAAAUGUGGAAGGUUAGAUAUGGCCGGCGCUGUAUUUGAUUGUAUCAGGAACAAAAAUGUGACCUCAUGGAACACAAUGAUUGCUUGUUACGGUGUUCACGGAUGCGCCGACAAGGUCUUAAAGCUAUUCUAUGAAAUGCAAGAGCAAAACCUAAGCCCCGACGGGAUGACGUACACGUCGGUGCUCUCUGCGUGCAGCCAUUGUGGGCUGGUCGAAGAAGGUUGGCGCGUGUUCAAAAUCCUGAAUGCGGAUGAUUCCAUUUCGCCCUCAGAAGAGCAUUAUAACUGCAUGGUGGAUUUGCUGGGUAGGGCGGGUCAACUCGAAGAAGCUUAUGACUUGGUUAAGAAGUUUUCAUUGAACGAGAGGAUCAAUGCACUGUGUGCUUUGCUUAGUGCUUGUAAAUUUCAUAAAAAUAUGAAAAUUGGAGAGGUUGUUUGCAAGGAAAUUUUGGAGAUACAACCCCAUAAUCCAGGUAUUUAUUCAUUGGUCUCCAACUUAUAUUCUGAGGCUAGUAUGUGGAACAAUGCCACAAGUCUGAGAAAGAAGGCUAGAAGGAAAGGUUUGAGGAAAACUCCGGGUUUUAGCGUACUAAACAUGGAUGAAUAUAUGGUGGGGAUUUGAAUGGAAUUACUGAAACUUCUCCAAGCAUCAUUUCGGAGGAAGCAGUGCAAGCUUGAGUUCAUCAAAAGUUUCUUCUGUGUUGCUUAAGGGUUCAUUCAACACAUUAAUAUAAUUUGGAAGGAGAUGAAUGGCCUGAGGCUAUUAUACGAGCCUCGACCAUUCCCAAUGUGCCUAACAAUUCAAGUACCACACCCUCCAC